ACAUGCACCAAGACAUGCAGAUGAAAGGAAAGUUCUUAAAUUACCAACCCAAGUCAAGAGGAAGAGGUGGUAACAGGAGUUCUGACUUGCAGCCUGGCUGUGACCUGCAGUAGCUGGGCUAUUCAUCCCUUGUGCUGUGUUCCUCCUAUUCUGGCCAACUUACUUAGCUCAAAUGAAACUAAAGAGGCAUGGGUUCAACCCAAUUGGAUAGAGGAAGAUGUUAAACCACAUCCAAAAGGAACAGCUCCCAGGAAGCUUUCCCUUAGAGUUCUCCAAAUAGUCCUCCCUCCAAUCUGCUCCCCAUCUGCUGCUGGGAGUCACUCUGCCACCUGUAGAGGAUGUCUUUGAACAUGGGGUUGAUGUUUGGACAUGGCUGCGAAUACAAAAGACACAAGGGAUUCUGCAGUGAGACAGAAAGUAAUGAGCACUGCACACAUGCCGACAGUGCAGAUUGAAGAUGCUCCCUAACGUCUAUGUGCAUCCAUCCCAGCUGUACAAAUGAUGCAUUUCCCCAGCAAGGUGGACUCCAGGCACUCUGCACCUCCACUUGCUUUGUAUUCUGACUACAUUGAAAGGUGAGAAGACAUUAAAUUUGCCUUAUGCAAUGCCACAUUUGACUGAAAUGGACACUUGUCCAUUGUAUGAACAGCCACUUGUAUGAAGAUACGAUAGGCCACUGGAAGGAGCUGUCCGAUGAGGACCAGCCCUGGGUCUCCCAGAAUGCCACUCUUCCCAUAGAAACACACCACCGUCUACUGGAAAAUCAUCAGUUGAGCUUGGCCUAUUUUUCAUUUUGCCUCAUAAAAUCAGCCUUCCAACCCUUCACUCAUUUUUACUCUCUUUCAGCUCAUCCCUGAGAGUUCAACAUGGCUAAGAUAAUGUAACUUUUCAAUAAAACAUAAAAUAAUCAGUUCAUUUAUUCAUCAAAAGUCUCAGCCUUCCAGUUUUACGAUUUUUCUGUAUCUCCCAGUAAAAAUAAUUCUUUGCUGCUA
rnacentral:lncRNA from 1 species